UUUAGAGCAAAAGUUCAUCUGCUCAGCACCUUUUCUCAGUGAGAGUACCAUCUUCUUUUUUCUUCUCUUUUUUAAUUGAAGCUUUUUACAGUUUUUACAGUUUUAGUAUUGUUGAGAGUGUUUGUCCCACAUUGAAAUGUUAAGGGACCUAGCCUGGGCUUAUAAGGAGUUGGGCUACUCCCCCCAUUGCCAAUUGGUUUUGGGGUGGAACCUCAACUUUCUUCAUGGUAUCAGAGCAAGGCUUCACGUGUUGGGCCCAACGGCCACACGUGCUCCCACGUCACCCAAUAUGUGUUGUCCACGUGUUAGGCUUGAAAGUUCGCCACACGUGCGGGAGCAUGUUGAGAGUGUUUGUCUCACAUUGAAAUGUUAAGGGACCUAGCCUGGGCUUAUAAGGAGUUGGGCUACUCCCCCCAUUGUCAAUUGGUUUUGGAGUGGAACCUCAACUUUCUUCAGGCAACCCUUCCACAAAUGUAAUAUUUUUACGGUAGAAAUCAAGAUUGGUUUAACGAUUUGCUUUAUAUUUCAUGUUUAAUCUUUAUCCAGCCAAGUCGUUCUAUGUUGUUGCUCCAGCUGUUCAUAGCAGUUAUCAACCAGGGGAAUGUAAAUUCUGCAUCCAAACCAUGCUGAUCCAUAGUUGGAAGUGCUCAACCUUUUACCGAUUUCCAAGUGUCUACCGUG
rnacentral:lncRNA from 1 species